AGGUAUGAUCAUACCAGCACCAAUGCACUGGAUCCCAUCAGAACUCCGAAAUUAAGCGUGCUUGGGCGAGAGUAUUGCUAAGAUGGGCUUUGUCACAAGACUUU
rnacentral:rRNA from 1 species